rnacentral:rRNA from 1 species
AUUGAACGCUGGCGGCAGGCCUAACACAUGCAAGUCGAGCGAGCGGCGGACGGGUGAGUAAUGUAUGGGGAUCUGCCCGAUAGAGGGGGAUAACUACUGGAAACGGUGUCUAAUACCGCAUACUAUCGGAUGUACCCAUAUGGGAUUAGCUAGUAGGGGGGGUAAAGGCUCACCUAGGCGACGAUCUCUAGCUGGUCUGAGAGGAUGAUGAGCCACACUGGAACUGAGAUACGGCCAAGACUCCUACGGGAGGCAGCAGUGGGGAAUAUUGCACAAUGGGCGAAAGCCGGAUGCAGCCAGGCCGCGUGUAUGAAGAAGGCUUUAGGGUUGUAAAGUACUUUCAGCGGGGAGGCGUGACCCGCAGAGGAAGCACCGGCUAACUACGGGCCAGCAGCCGCGGUAAUAC